CGUCAUAAAAAAUUCACAAUGUCAUUAUCAAAUCGUUAUUAUAACAAGGUAACGAUCAACAAAGUAACGACGUUACUGUCAACCCUACAAAAUGCAAGAAUACAAACAA